GAUGAACGCUGGCGGCGUGCCUAAUACAUGCAAGUCGAGCGAACAGACGAGGAGCUUGCUCCUCUGACGUUAGCGGCGGACGGGUGAGUAACACGUGGAUAACCUACCUAUAAGACUGGGAUAACUUCGGGAAACCGGAGCUAAUACCGGAUAACAUGUUGAACCGCAUGGUUCAACAGUGAAAGACGGUUUUGCUGUCACUUAUAGAUGGAUCCGCGUCGCAUUAGCUAGUUGGUAAGGUAACGGCUUACCAAGGCAACGAUGCGUAGCCGACCUGAGAGGGUGAUCGCCCACACUGGAACUGAGACACGGUCCAGACUCCUACGGGAGGCAGCAGUAGGGAAUCUUCCGCAAUGGGCGAAAGCCUGACGGAGCAACGCCGCGUGAGUGAAGAAGGUCUUCGGAUCGUAAAACUCUGUUAUUAGGGAAGAACAAAUGUGUAAGUAACUAUGCACGUCUUGACGGUACCUAAUCAGAAAGCCACGGCUAACUACGUG
rnacentral:rRNA from 1 species